AGGAUGAACGCUGGCGGUCUGCUUAACACAUGCAAGUCGAACGGAGUACCUCGGUACUUAGUGGCGGACGGGUGAGUAACGCGUGAGAAUCUGCCCUUAGGUCGGGGACAACCAUUGGAAACGAUGGCUAAUACCGGAUAAGCCGAGAGGUAAAAGAUUAAUUGCCUAGGGAAGAGCUCGCGUCUGAUUAGCUAGUUGGUGAGGUAAAGGCUCACCAAGGCAUCGAUCAGUAGCUGGUCUGAGAGGAUGAUCAGCCACACUGGGACUGAGACACGGCCCAGACUCCUACGGGAGGCAGCAGUGGGGAAUUUCCGCAAUGGGCGAAAGCCUGACGGAGCAAGACCGCGUGGGGGAAGAAGGCUCUUGGGUUGUAAACCCCUUUUCUCUGGAAGAACACAAUGACGGUACCAGAGGAAUCAGCAUCGGCUAACUCCGUGCCAGCACGCCGC
rnacentral:rRNA from 1 species